GACGUAGGGCGCGAGCGUUGUCCGGAUUUAUUGGGCGUAAAGAGCUCGUAGGCGGUCUGUCACGUCGGCUGUGAAAACCCGAGGCUCAACCUCGGGCCUGCAGUCGAUACGGGCAAACUAGAGUACUGCAGGGGAGACUGGAAUUCCUGGUGUAGCGGUGAAAUGCGCAGAUAUCAGGAGGAACACCGGUGGCGAAGGCGGGUCUCUGGGCAGUAACUGACGCUGGAGGAGCGAAAGCGUGGGGAGCGAACAGG
rnacentral:rRNA from 1 species